rnacentral:lncRNA from 1 species
UAAAAAUCACCUACAGGGCAGAGAGAGCUGCACCAGAAAUUCCAAAGAGAAGGCAGCUGAGACUCCAGCGUUCCAAGGUGAUGUGGAACAGUGCACACUCAGAUCCUGGCUGGGCAUCUGAACUGCUGGCAGAGCAGCCAAGCAGGGCCUGAUCUUCACAAGCUGAUCACCUCACCAGCUAUGCCAGGCUGUGGCUGGACUCAAGGGCACGACUUAGGAUAAGAAACUGGCUCUGUCGACUCCUCUGUUCAAGAGCUUACAGGACCCUGAGGAUUUACCCCAUGUGGACGUUACAACUGACCAUCACAAGCCGAGCACGAGACAGGAUGGAGACUGGUGAAAAAGGAGGAACGCCUUCUGGAGUUUCACCCAGGAAGAUCUAGUUCUGUUUGUGCCUGAAGGGAAAGAAGACCAGGGAUCCCGGCCUUCCUUCUCCCUCAUGUGAGUGACCGUAAUCCAUGGGGGAAUUCAUCUCUUGCCCUCACCAUGGCCAAGGUCUGCUCUACACAUGGGCCCAGAGGCCACACUUUUAGUACUUCGGAGAAGCUGAUGAUGGCAUCUGUGACAUGGGAGGUCUUUCAUCCUGAGGCAAGGGUAUGAGUUCUGCCAGCCCUCUGUACCAUCUGGAAGCAACCUGGGACUAUUUGCAGGUUCACAAAUGGUAGAUGAUUGUUUCAUGGCAUGAAAGACUUAAUUUGAGCCUUAAUGGAGAGAGCAGACUAACGAAGAUUGAGGAAACAUGGCCUAUAAGAACAAAACGUGCUGAAUUUGAGUAAAGCUACACAUUCUACACAUUGUGGUCAGCACUCAGAACACUGUGGGUAGGCAGAGCUGGAACCAAUGUCCACAGAUAACUCUCCAACUUUAUUUUAACCUCCUUUUUACCUUCUCACAGACCAGUCUUGUCCUAAUUACCUUGGUUAUACAAUCCUUGUUUGCAUUUCCAGAGAGAUAGCCAUGUUUGCAAGAAAGAACAUAAGUCCCCAAGUCUGAAAGGAGUUCCAAAAAGAAGGAAAUGUGUAACAGUGAAAAGCUGUGGGGUUUUGACUCAGUCAGGCUUCAGUUCCAACCCUUGUUAUGUCAUAUGCUAUCUAUGAGAACUUUAUAGCUUCUCUGAGUUUCAGUUUGCACAGUUCAAAAUGGAACAGAUAGCAUCUAUCCUGUUAGAUUGUUAUAAAAAUCAUUAAAACAUAUGUAAAGCAUUAAAAAGCUGGCUCAUAUUAGGUAUUGAAUAAAUGGCAAGUAUUAAUAUCUGUAAAAUGAAGG